UGGGGAAUCUUGGACAAUGGGCGCAAGCCUGAUCCAGCCAUGCCGCGUGAGUGAUGAAGGUCUUCGGAUUGUAAAGCUCUGUCUUUGGGGACGAUAAUGACGGUACCCAAGGAGGAAGCCACGGCUAACUACGUGC
rnacentral:rRNA from 1 species